GACGAACGCUGGCGGCGUGCUUAACACAUGCAAGUCGAGCGGAAAGGCCCUUCGGGGUACUCGAGCGGCGAACGGGUGAGUAACACGUGGGUAACCUGCCCCUUGCUCUGGGAUAACUCCGGGAAACCGGGCUAAUACCGGAUACGGACCACUUUAAGGCAUCUUCGGUGGUGGAAAGUUUUUCGGCGAGGGAUGGACCCGCGGCCUAUCAGCUUGUUGGUGGGGUAAUGGCCUACCAAGGCAGUGACGGGUAGCCGGCCNGAGAGGGCGACCGGCCACACUGGGACUGAGACACGGCCCAGACUCCUACGGGAGGCAGCAGUGGGGAAUAUUGCGCAAGUGGGCGAAAGCCUGACGCAGCGACGCCGCGUGAGGGAUGACGGCCUUGGUU
rnacentral:rRNA from 1 species